UUUGUACUCCCACUGUCCGGAAAUAUUUAUCGUGGAAAUUGAUGUAUCUAGAUAUAUUUUAGUUCUAUAUACAUCCAUUUAUAUUUAUUUUUGUGACAAGUAAUUUCUGACGAAGGAAGUAUACA
rnacentral:pre_miRNA from 1 species